rnacentral:rRNA from 1 species
AGAGUUUGAUCCUGGCUCAGGAUGAACGCUGGCGGCAUGCCUAAUACAUGCAAGUCGAACGAGGAUCCUUGUGGAUCCUAGUGGCGAACGGGUGAGUAACACGUAGGGAACCUGCCCGCGCACCGGGAAUACGCUCUGGAAACGGAGAACAAAUCCCGAUGUACAGGAAGGAGGCAUCUUCUUUCUGUGAAACAUCCUGUAAGGGAUGGGGCGCGGAUGGACCUGCGGUGCAUUAGUUGGUUGGCGAGGGUAAAGGCCCACCAAGACGAUGAUGCAUAGCCGGCCUGAGAGGGCGGACGGCCACAUUGGGACUGAGACACGGCCCAGACUCCUGCGGGAGGCAGCAGUAGGGAAUUUUCGUCAAUGGGCGCAAGCCUGAACGAGCGAUGCCGCGUGAGUGAAGAAGGCCUUCAGGUCGUAAAGCUCUGUUGCGGGGGAAAAAAGGCAUCUGCAGGAAAUGGUAGAUGACAGAUGGUGCCCCGCCAGAAAGUCACGGCUAACUACGUGCCAGCAGCCGCGGUAAUACGUAGGUGGCGAGCGUUAUCCGGAAUGAUUGGGCGUAAAGGGUGCGCAGGCGGUCCUGCAAGUCUGGAGUGAAACGUAUGAGCUCAACUCAUGCAUGGCUCUGGAAACUGGAGGACUGGAGAGCAAGAGAGGGCGGUGGAACUCCAUGUGUAGCGGUAAAAUGC